AGCGAACGCUGGCGGCAGGCUUAACACAUGCAAGUCGAGCGGGCGUAGCAAUACGUCAGCGGCAGACGGGUGAGUAACGCGUGGGAACGUACCUUUUGGUUCGGAACAACACAGGGAAACUUGUGCUAAUACCGGAUAAGCCCUUACGGGGAAAGAUUUAUCGCCGAAAGAUCGGCCCGCGUCUGAUUAGCUAGUUGGUGAGGUAACGGCUCACCAAGGCGACGAUCAGUAGCUGGUCUGAGAGGAUGAUCAGCCACAUUGGGACUGAGACACGGCCCAAACUUCUACGGGAGGCAGCAGUGGGGAAUAUUGGACAAUGGGGGCAACCCUGAUCCAGCCAUGCCGCGUGAGUGAUGAAGGCCCUAGGGUUGUAAAGCUCUUUUGUGCGGGAAGAUAAUGACGGUACCGCAAGAAUAAGCCCCGGCUAACUUCGU
rnacentral:rRNA from 1 species